rnacentral:rRNA from 1 species
AACGAACGCUGGCGGCAGGCUUAACACAUGCAAGUCGAACGCCCCGCAAGGGGAGUGGCAGACGGGUGAGUAACGCGUGGGAACAUACCCUUUCCUGCGGAAUAGCCCCGGGAAACUGGGAUUAAUACCGCAUACGCCCUACGGGGGAAAGAUUUAUCGGGGAAGGAAUGGCCCGCGUGGGAUUAGCUAGUUGGUGGGGUAAAGGCAUACCAAGGCGACGAUCCAUAGCUGGUCUGAGAGGAUGAUCAGCCACAUUGGGACGGAGACACGGCCCAAACUCCUACGGGAGGCAGGAGUGGGGAAUAUUGGAAAAUGGGCGCAAGGCUGAUCCAGCCAGGACGCGUGAGUGAUGAAGGCCUUAGGGUUGUAAAGCUCUUUCACCGAUGAAGAUAAUGACGGUAGUCGGAGAAGAAGCCCCGGCUAACUUCGUG